AAUAGCUUAAUUAAUUGGGUCACUCUCACUAUCACCACUUUGGUUUGUCUGGGAUGCAUUUGUUCUAUCUAUUUGUCUCUUCUGAAUUCAUUCAGCAUAUUCGGUUGUAAUCAGAUAACAAAACCAUUUUUGUCUUGCCUUAAGAACCAGCAUUGCUUGUCACUCAUGUAAUAAUGUUCACUUAACAAAUAAUUUACUGCAAUCCAAACUUGUUUCCGAUCGAACCCAACAACAAAGCCUUCCCACAGAAAUAAAACAAAAACAAAAAACACAACAACAACAAGGCCUCCCAAGUCUAAAGUUCUUACUUAUAUAAAUGGAAACUAAAGCCCAUCAGAAGCUUCACAUUUUCUUCUUUCCAGAUAUGGCUCAAGGCCAUAUCAUUCCCCUCAUAGACAUUGCCAAACUAUUUGCUUCUCGUGGUGUAAAAUCCACCUUAAUAACCACUGCUCUCAAUGCACCACUCUUCUCCAAAGCAAUCCAAAGCAGCAAAAAUUUGGGGUUUGAGAUUGAAAUUCUUGUCAUCCAAUUUCCAGCUAUUGAAGUUGGGUUGCCUCAAGGAUUUGAGAUUACUAGCAUGGCUACGACCCAUGAGAUGAGAGAAAAGUUCUUCAAAGCUACCUUCCUGCUUGAGCCACAGAUUGAGCAGAUUUUAGACCAACACCGCCCUCACUGCCUCGUUGCCGAUUCAUUGUUUCCUUGGGCUACAGACGUUGCUGCCAAGUUUGGAAUUCCAAGGCUCAUAUGUCAUGGACCUGGUUUUUUCCCUUUGUGUGCUGCAACCAUUGUCAUAUUGCAGGAGCCUCAAAAGAAGGUAUCAUCUGAUUCAGACGUUUUUACUAUUCCUAAUCUCCCGGUUGAGAUCAAGAUGACACGAAACCAAGUACCAACUAUGUUGGAGAAAAAUGCUGAUACAAUUUUGUCCAAGUUGUUCAAAGAAUCCAGAGAGUGUGAGGAAAGGAGCUAUGGUAUUAUUGUUAAUACUUUCUAUGAACUUGAGCCAGCUUUUGCAGAUCAUUACAGGAAGGUGUUUGGGAGGAAGGCAUGGCAUAUAGGCCCGGUUUCCUUAUGCAACAAUGCAGUAGGGAAUAAAACAGAGAUAAGGGGAAUGGAAGCCUCCUUUGAUGAACAUGAGUGCUUGAAUUGGCUCAAUACUAAGAAAAUCAUUCAGUUGUUUACAUAUGUUUUGGAAGCCUGACCAAUUUCAGUGAUCCUCAGCUCCUUGAAAUUGCUUUGGGGCUUGAGGCUUAUGGGCAGGAAUUCAUUUGGGUUGUGAAGGAAGAAAAGAAAGAAAAGGAAGAGUGGUUGCCUGAAGGGUUUGAACAGAGAAUGGAAGGCAAGGGACUAAUUAUAAGAGGUUGGGCUCCACAGGUGAUGAUUCUGGAGCAUCAAGCAAUUGGAGGCUUUGUAACUCACUGUGGGUGGAACUCUAUCCUUGAAGGAGUGUCUUCUGGGGUGCCAAUGAUAACAUGGCCCGUGUCUGCUGAGCAGUUUUACAAUGAGAAGUUGGUGACUGAGAUACUGAGAAUUGGGGUUGCUGUUGGUUCUGAAAAAUGGGCUUCAUUAGUAGAUGUGAAGAAGGAAGCCAGUGUGGAGAGGGACGCCAUAGAGAAGGCUGUGGCUCAAGUCAUGGUGGGUGAUGAAGCAGAGGAAAUGAGAAGCAGAGCCAGGGGACUAAGAGAGGUGGCAAGUAGGGCUAUUGAAAAAGGAGGAUCAUCAUACUCUGAUUUGAAUGCCCUAAUUGAAGAACUGAGGUCCCAUAGUUAG